AGUUUGAUCCUGGCUCAGGAUGAACGCUAGCUACAGGCUUAACACAUGCAAGUCGAGGGGCAGCAUGUCGGUUGCUUGCAACCGAUGAUGGCGACCGGCGCACGGGUGAGUAACGCGUAUCCAACCUACCCUUGUCCAUCGGAUAACCCGUCGAAAGGCGGCCUAACACGAUAUGCGGUUCACAGCAGGCAUCUAACGUGAACGAAAUGUGAAGGAGAAGGAUGGGGGAGCGUCUGAUUAGCUUGUUGGCGGGGUAACGGCCCACCAAGGCUACGAUCAGUAGGGGUUCUGAGAGGAAGGUCCCCCACAUUGGAACUGAGACACGGUCCAAACUCCUACGGGAGGCAGCAGUGAGGAAUAUUGGUCAAUGGACGAGAGUCUGAACCAGCCAAGUAGCGUGCAGGAUGACGGCCCUAUGGGUUGUAAACUGCUUUUAUAAGGGAAUAAAGUGAGCCUCGUGAGGCUUUUUGCAUGUACCUUAUGAAUAAGGACCGGCUAAUUCCGUGCCAGCAGCCGCGGUAAUACGGAAGGUCCGGGCGUUAUCCGGAUUUAUUGGGUUUAAAGGGAGCGUAGGCCGGAGAUUAAGCGUGUUGUGAAAUGUAGAUGCUCAACAUCUGCACUGCAGCGCGAACUGGUUUCCUUGAGUACGCACAAAGUGGGCGGAAUUCGUGGUGUAGCGGUGAAAUGCUUAGAUAUCACGAAGAACUCCGAUUGCGAAGGCAGCUCACUGGAGCGCAACUGACGCUGAAGCUCGAAAGUGCGGGUAUCGAACAGGAUUAGAUACCCUGGUAGUCCGCACGGUAAACGAUGGAUGCCCGCUGUUGGUCUGAAUAGGUCAGCGGCCAAGCGAAAGCAUUAAGCAUCCCACCUGGGGAGUACGCCGGCAACGGUGAAACUCAAAGGAAUUGACGGAAG
rnacentral:rRNA from 1 species